rnacentral:tRNA from 1 species
AAGAGGAAGUUGUAACUAAAAGAAGCCGCUAACUAUCUUUUAAAGCGGUUAGAGUCCGUUUCCCUCUUA